rnacentral:rRNA from 1 species
AUGGAUGCGAGACAGGGGUACAUGAUUCGGUUCGACGGCCACUUCGAGUUCGAGGACCCGUCGACCGCCGAGCCGCCGCCGCCUCCGUUCGCGGCCAGGGCGAUCUCGUCUGAGCAGGAGCAUACCGCCAUGGUCGCCGCGCUGCUGCACGUCAUCUCAGGGUACACCACGCCGGUGCCGGACUUCUUCUUCCCGGCGAGCAAGGAGGUGUGCACGGCGUGCGGGAUGGAUGGGUGCCUCGGGUGCGAGUUCUUCGGCGCGGGGGCCAGGCCGGCGAUCGCACCGAAGGCGACGGUGGGCGGGCCGCAGAGGAGGCGGAGAAACAAAAAGACCCAGUACCGCGGCAUCAGGCAGCGACCGUGGGGCAAGUGGGCGGCGGAGAUCCGCGACCCGCGCCGCGCCGUGCGGGUGUGGCUCGGGACCUUCGACACCGCCGAGGACGCCGCCAGGGCCUACGACCGCGCCGCCGUCGAGUUCCGCGGCCCGCGCGCCAAGCUCAACUUCCCCUUCCCCGAGCAGCAGCAGCAGCAGCAGCUGGGCGGCAGCGGCAAUGCCGCGGCCAAGUCAGACACGCGCUCGCCCUCGCCGUCGCCCAGCAGCGCGGACGGGGAGGAAACAGAGGAACGGCUCUGGGAUGGCUUGCAUGACUUGAUGAAGCUAGACAAGAGCGAGCUCUGCUUACUUUUUCCGGUGGGGGUCAACAACACCCUGGAAAUGUUUCCCGCGCCGGGAAAGAAACGACCCGUGGCCGAUCUAGCGGGUGUCAUGGCAAAUGUUUGCUAG